rnacentral:lncRNA from 1 species
UUUAUUUUCUUGCAAAUAAUGGAAAGAAGUAAAAGAUCUACAUGAGGUCACAGGCUCUGGCUGGUGGGCAUAAGCAUCUAGACUUUUCCUUGUUGGUAAUCAGAUGUUUUUUCCAGAUUCCUUUGUAGGUUGGACCCUUGCUUGAGGCUCUUGGAGAAGACUCCUCCCCCAAAAUUGGGACUUGGCAAACCAGGGUUCACACCAACUUCUUAUAGACUAUUGCAAAAUUCUGUAAG